CCCUGCCGCUCGCCCCGCGACUUCCCUCCUGCGAUCCCCCGCCGCUCGCCCCGCAAUCACCGAAUCAAUCAGCACAAUCUACAUCGGUCUGCCUUCUCCCCUGCACUCCUCAGGCGGUGGAUUUGGCCUUCCUUCCCGAUUCCUCAGCCCGUCACCACCAUCACGAAGUUCUUGCGACUGCUGCCACCAUUCUGCUUCCUCGCAAAAGAUGCCGCGUGCCACCCACCAUCGGCACCACCAACACCGCCCUCGCCCUCACCCUGCAGUCCGUGGAGUAGAUCGACGAUCAUCACCAUCUCUACUGAGGGAUCAGACGAAGGCGAUUCUAUCCAAGAAGGCGUCAAGAUCGCCACCAAGGCCGAGCAGCAUGAGUGCUUCAUCUUUAAGGUUGUAAUGAAAAGUUGGUCCUGCUAGGCUGAAGAGUUUUCGAUAUAAGUCUGCGCCUUUGCGAUGGGUUUAGGCAAUGUGAUCACGAAGAAGGUGAUAAAGCACAACUCUUUUGAUCUUGACAUACAACUUGCUAAGAGCUGGAUGGUAAAGCACGCUCUUUUGUCUCUAUGUGAUAAUAGUUUGUUUAAUGUGGUGAGUUUUGUAUGUAAUUUUAAUCCUGAUCAAAAUUGCUAAGUUGAAUUUGAGAACUCUCUUUCUUUUUUUUUUCUGCACUGAAAUGCAAAUAUGCUUGAGCUCUUCUGGGACAUAUACUGGAUAAGAGCUUGCUUAAUUGAAUUAGAAAAGAUUUUUAUGAACUCAAUAACUCAUAGCAUAGUGAGAGUGUUUUGUCAAUUAAUCUACUGUUUCCGGGCUUGUGAGGAUGUUGUAUCAGAGAUGCUUUCUGGCAAGGUGCAUAUACAAGUUUUUUUACUCAAUCAUUAUUGCUGAUUUUUGUUCCUUGCUGAGGGUACAAUGGGUGAUGCCGAUCAUGUUUCAUUUUCAUAGGGAUGGUUCUUGUGAUAGUUAUACAAGUUCUUUUAUGGCAAGUUUUUACUAAUUAUGUUGCUCUCUUACUUUAGGGAUAAUAAUUCUUGCUUGAGUUGUCGAUUCAACAGUUGCCCUAUCUCUUUUUUGUAGAAAGUGAAAAGGACUCUCCUUUGGUUAAAGUUAGAGUUUAUUGAACUAUAUAGUUCAAUUUCAGGGUUCGUUCCUGAUCCUAGAUUGGUGCAUUAUAUAUAUAUAUAUACUAUAACUCUUGUUUCAUGCACCGUGGUCCAUUGAGUGUUUACACUCUAGAUUAGGCAAUGCCAAGUUGCGUAUGUGAUAUCAAUUUUUAAUUCUGCCUGGAUACGAGAUGCAUGACUGAAGGCUCGGUAUGGAGAUGCGGUGGUCGUGAAUUUAUUGGCGUACAAAAGAAAUAGACUUUGGAGAUUUCUUCUUGCUGAUCUAAAACAUUAUCUUAUCGUGGGCCUUUAUAAUAGAGUUUAUUGGUCUUGGUAAAGUUGCUAUUACACUUGACCAUUCAAUUACAAAUAUCUUACAUGUUGAUUCCUUGAAGUACAAUCUACUGUCUAUUUCUUAAUUAUGUGAAAUGGGCUACAAUUAUCUCUUCACGGAUGAGAGUGUGGAAGUCUCUAAGAGGGAUGCGAGUGUGGAAGUCUCUAAGAUGAAGGUCUAGAAGAAGAAACAAGGAGGUGUUGAGCAUCUAAGGCUACGCCAAACUAUACAAUGGGAUCACCCCGUUGAUAACAUCCUUGGGAGUAUUCGAAAGGGGGUAACAACUCAUUCUCAUUUAAUAUAUGUUUUUUCAAAUAUUACUUGUUUGUUUCCUCUUUGAAACCUCUUUAGGUAGAAUAAGCACUUGGAGAUCCAGAUUGGGUCAUGGCUAUGCAAGAAGAGCUCAACAACUUAGAGAGGAACCAAGUAUGGACCUUGGUGGAAAGGCCUAAAAUAAAUGUCCUUGGCACCAAGUGGGUCUUCCGCAAUAAGCAAGAUGAGAAUGGUGAGGUGACAAGGAACAAGGCAAGAUUGGUGGCCCAAAGCUUCGCUCAAGUAGUGGGCUUGGACUUUGAAGAAACAUAUGCACUAGUGGCAAUGCUUGAAGCAAUUCGAAUGCUUUUGGUCUUUGACGCCCAUCAUGACUUCAAGCCAAAGAGAUGUCAAGAGUGCAUUUCUCAACGGCCUAAUAUAAGAUUUGGUCUAUGUGGAGUUGCCACAGGGUUUUGAAGAUUCCAAGUUCCCUAACCAUGCAUUCAAACUUCAAAAGGCACUCUAUGGGCUUAAGCAAGCACCAAGAGCAUGGUAUGAAUGCCUUAAGAAAUUCUUGCUCAAACAAGGCAUUGAAAUAGGCAAAGCUGACCCUACACUCUUUACUCACAAAGUUGUAAAUGCUAUAUUUGUGUGCCAAAUAUAUGUCGAUGACAUAAUAUUUGGUAGUACUAACCAUGUGUAUUAUGAGGA